GUGGGGAAUUUUGGACAAUGGGCGAAAGCCUGAUCCAGCCAUGCCGCGUGUGUGAAGAAGGUCUUCGGAUUGUAAAGCACUUUAAGUUGGGAGGAAGGGCAGUAAGUUAAUACCUUGCUGUUUUGACGUUACCGACAGAAUAAGCACCGGCUAACUUCGUGCCAGCAGCCGCGGUAAUACGAAGGGUGCAAGCGUUAAUCGGAAUUACUGGGCGUAAAGCGCGCGUAGGUGGUUUUGUAAGUUGGAGGUGAAAUCCCCGGGCUCAACCUGGGAACUGAAUCCAAAACUGGCGAGCUAGAGUACGGUAGAGGGUGGUGGAAUUUCCUGUGUAGCGGUGAAAUGCGUAGAUAUAGGAAGGAACACCAGUGGCGAAGGCGACCACCUGGACUGAUACUGACACUGAGGUGCGAAAGCGUGGGGAGCAAACAGGAUUAGAUACCCGGGUAGUCC
rnacentral:rRNA from 1 species